rnacentral:rRNA from 1 species
GAUGAACGCUGGCGGCGUGCCUAAUACAUGCAAGUCGAGCGAACAGAUGAGGAGCUUGCUCCUCUGACGUUAGCGGCGGACGGGUGAGUAACACGUGGAUAACCUACCUAUAAGACUGGGAUAACUUCGGGAAACCGGAGCUAAUACCGGAUAAUAUAUUGAACCGCAUGGUUCAAUAGUGAAAGACGGUUUUGCUGUUACUUAUAGAUGGAUCCGCGCCGCAUUAGCUAGUUGGUAAGGUAACGGCUUACCAAGGCAACGAUGCGUAGCCGACCUGAGAGGGUGAUCGGCCACACUGGAACUGAGACACGGUCCAGACUCCUACGGGAGGCAGCAGUAGGAAAUCUUCCGCAAUGGGCGAAAGCCUGACGGAGCAACGCCGCGUGAGUGAUGAAGGUCUUCGGAUCGUAAAACUCUGUUAUUAGGGAAGAACAAAUGUGUAAGUAACUAUGCACGUCUUGACGGUACCUAAUCAGAAAGCCACGGCUAACUACGUG